rnacentral:sRNA from 1 species
GCCGGGCGUGGUGGCACACGCCUGUAAUCUCAGGAACUGGGGAGACUGAGGCAGGAGGAUGGCAAGUUCAAGGCCAGCCUCAGCAACUUAGCAAGACCUUAAGCAAUUUAGUGAGACCCUGUCUUUA